UACAGAGGGUGCGAGCGUUGUUCGGAAUUACUGGGCGUAAAGCGCGUGUAGGUGGUUGUCGUAGUCAGGCGUGAAAGCCUUGAGCUCAACUCAAGAAAUGCGCUUGAUACUGGGCAGCUAGAGGACCGGAGAGGAUAGUGGAAUUCCCAGUGUAGUGGUGAAAUACGUAGAGAUUGGGAAGAACACCAGUGGCGAAGGCGGCUAUCUGGACGGUUUCUGACACUAAGACUCGAAAGCGUGGGGAGCAAACAGG
rnacentral:rRNA from 1 species